rnacentral:rRNA from 1 species
UACAGAGGGGGCAAGCGUUGUUCGGAAUUACUGGGCGUAAAGGGCGCGUAGGCGGCCUGCUAAGUCGAACGUGAAAUCCCCGGGCUCAACCCGGGAACUGCGUCCGAUACUGGUAGGCUUGAAUUCGGGAGAGGGAUGCGGAAUUCCAGGUGUAGCGGUGAAAUGCGUAGAUAUCUGGAGGAACACCGGUGGCGAAGGCGACAUCCUGGACCGGUAUUGACGCUGAGGCGCGAAAGCCAGGGGAGCAAACGGG